rnacentral:rRNA from 1 species
UGGGGAAUAUUGCACAAUGGGCGCAAGCCUGAUGCAGCCAUGCCGCGUGUAUGAAGAAGGCCUUCGGGUUGUAAAGUACUUUCAGCGGGGAGGAAGGUGUUGAGGCUAAUAACCUCAGCAAUUGACGUUACCCGCAGAAGAAGCACCGGCUAACUCCGUGCCAGCAGCCGCGGUAAUACGGAGGGUGCAAGCGUUAAUCGGAAUUACUGGGCGUAAAGCGCACGCAGGCGGUAUGUCAAGUCGGAUGUGAAAUCCCCGGGCUCAACCUGGGAACUGCAUUCGAAACUGGCAGGCUAGAGUCUUGUAGAGGGGGGUAGAACUCCAGGUGUAGCGGUGAAAUGCGUAGAGAUCUGGAGGAAUACCGGUGGCGAAGGCGGCCCCCUGGACAAAGACUGACGCUCAGGUGCGAAAGCGUGGGGAGCAAACA